UAAGCGGAGGAAAAGAAACCAACAGGGAUUGCCCUAGUAACGGCGAGUGAAGCGGCAACAGCUCAAAUUUGAAAUCUGGCUACCUUUAGUGGUCCGAGUUGUAAUUUGUAGAGGAUGCUUUUGGUGAGGUGCCUUCCGAGUUCCCUGGAACGGGACGCCAUAGAGGGUGAGAGCCCCGUACGGUUGGAUACCAAGCCUCUGUAUAGCUCCUUCAACGAGUCGAGUAGUUUGGGAAUGCUGCUCUAAAUGGGAGGUAUAUCUCUUCUAAAGCUAAAUAUAGGCUAGAGACCGAUAGCGCACAAGUAGAGUGAUCGAAAGAUGAAAAGCACUUUGAAAAGAGAGUUAAACAGCACGUGAAAUUGUUGAAAGGGAAGCGCCUAUGACCAGACUUGUUUCUGGCAGUUUUGUUAGCCCUCGGGCUGAUUUACUCUGUCCAGUACAGGCCAGCAUCAGUUUGCUGUCGGGGAGAAAGGCUCUGGGAAUGUGGCUCCCCCCUUCUGGGGGGGAGUGUUAUAGCCCUCUGCAUAAUACCCUUUGGCAGACUGAGGACCGCGCUUCGGCAAGGAUGCUGGCGUAAUGGUCAUCAGCGACCCGUCUUGAAACACGGACCAAGGAGUCAACCUUAUGUGCGAGUGUUUGGGUGUAAAACCCCAGCGCGUAAUGAAAGUGAACGUAGGUGAGAGCUUCGGCGCAUCAUCGACCGAUUCUGAUGUUUUCGGAUGGAUUUGAGUAAGAGCACACAGGGUUGGACCCGAAAGAAGGUGAACUAUGCUUGUAUAGGGUGAAGCCAGAGGAAACUCUGGUGGAGGCUCGCAGCGGUUCUGACGUGCAAAUCGAUCGUCAAAUAUGAGCAUGGGGGCGAAAG
rnacentral:rRNA from 1 species